AUUCCGGUUGAUCCUGCCGGAGGCCAUUGCUAUCGGAGUCCGAUUUAGCCAUGCUAGUUGCGCGAGUUCAGACUCGCAGCAGAUAGCUCAGUAACACGUGGUCAAGCUACCCUGCAGACACGGACAACCUCGGGAAACUGAGGCUAAUCCGCGAUACCGAUCCCACGCUGGAAUGCCGGGAUCUACAAACGCUCCGGCGCUGCAGGAUGCGGCUGCGGCCGAUUAGGUAGACGGUGGGGUAACGGCCCACCGUGCCGAUAAUCGGUACGGGUUGUGAGAGCAAGAGCCCGGAGACGGAAUCUGAGACAAGAUUCCGGGCCCUACGGGGCGCAGCAGGCGCGAAACCUUUACACUGCACGCAAGUGCGAUAAGGGGACUCCGAGUGCGAGGGCAUAUAGUCCUCGCUUUUGAGAACCGUAAGGUGGUUCUCGAAUAAGAGCUGGGCAAGACCGGUGCCAGCCGCCGCGGUAAUACCGGCAGCUCAAGUGAUGGCCAAUCUUAUUGGGCCUAAAGCGUCCGUAGCUGGCCGUGAAAGUUCGUCGGGAAAUCCAUCCGCUCAACGGAUGGGCGUCCGGCGAAAACUUCACGGCUUGGGACCGGAAGGCUCGAGGGGUACGUCCGGGGUAGGAGUGAAAUCCUGUAAUCCUGGACGGACCGCCGAUGGCGAAAGCACCUCGAGAAGACGGAUCCGACAGUGAGGGACGAAAGCUAGGGUCUCGAACCGGAUUAGAUACCCGGGUAGUCCUAGCCGUAAACGAUGUUCACUAGGUGUGGCACAGGCUACGAGCCUGUGCUGUGCCGUAGGGAAGCCGAGAAGUGAACCGCCUGGGAAGUACGUCCGCAAGGAUGAAACUUAAAGGAAUUGGCGGGGGAGCACUACAACCGGAGGAGCCUGCGGUUUAAUUGGACUCAACGCCGGACAUCUCACCAGCUCCGACUACAGUAAUGACGGUCAGGUUGAUGACCUUACCACGAGCUGUAGAGAGGAGGUGCAUGGCCGCCGUCAGCU
rnacentral:rRNA from 2 species